ACUCUUGAAGCGACACGAGAACAGGCAAGCUGGAAGACUGUGGUAGAAGAGCUUGCAGCCUAUGAUUAGGCUCCUCGACCACAUCUGAGGAGUAAGAGCACUUAGGGGACAGUCUUGCCAAUCACAAAGCUGAAAGACAAGGUGCCUGUACAGGACCCCUCUGAGCUGACAGCGGGACAAACAGAGACACUCUUGCUGCUGCUGGCUCAGACAAAUGCUGAUCUUUGCUCUGCCAAUGAAAUCACAUUACUUUAAAAACAGGUUUCAAGGGAUUGUUUGAUGAGAAGGAACUGUGCUGAUCCUCAUCUACUAAGGCAGCAGUAACGCAGGAUCUGGGUGGUAACAAGUCCUCGUCUCUGCUGAUAAUCACCCUAUCUCUUGCCCACAGUACAUCUUUCUCUGAGGAACUCGGGAGAAAAUUAGAGCGAAACAGAUUUACUGGGCCGCAGGGUCUAAUUUACUGUAUUCACAGUCAGACAUUCAGCAAGAAAUAAGUGAGGGAAUAAGUGAGCAGAUUUUCUUCCUGCUUUCCCACUUGAGAAUGGAGUUCUAUGCUUUGGGAGACACCCACUGCAGCUUCACAGGAAGAUGAAAUUAGUUAUCAAUAGUCAAGCUGAAAAUCUAAAUUGAUGUUCUCUAGAGAUCAAGGGUAAGGCCAGACUUUCCGUAUGGGAUAGAGAUGAUGAAAAACUUCAGUUUCUCUUCUGUUGUACUUGAGUGAGUGGAACAAAUCAAGGUGAAAUUAUA